UUAGACACUGACACUGAAAUUCUGUCCAGCUGGAUACUGUAGCUGUAGAAAUUAACAAUCAGCUGAGGUAUUGUUGGAACAAGAGUGUCCUGAGUUGUACAGCUGGGCUGCCUCUGUGAAACAUCUGGAAGCAAACUAUCCUGCCUUCCCACAGUAGACAGUACACAUGGACAGGUUUGGUUCUUCUGUUCAUUAACUCUGGGCAGACCUCUGAGUUCUCAGUCUAUCCAUUCAGAGAGCAGGGCUGACCACGCUUCAUGGCAAGUGAUGCACGCUGCAAACCGUGUGUGCGUGUAGUGUGAGCGAGAGCCAUCGGUGUGUGUGUGUGUGUGU